rnacentral:lncRNA from 1 species
UUUCGAGCAGAUAUUAUUAUAUGAUAUGAGUAAUCUGAGUAUUUUUGGUUUAGAACUAUUACUAUUAUUAUAUGGCAUGGUAUUGUUGUAUAUUGGUACUUAUACAGUUCUGAUUUCUCUUUACUGCGCUUAUCUGCAGGUACAACUUUCCUUUUCCGUGCUUAAGUAAAAAAAUGUUGUUCCAUUCGAUACACAGUCGGAUUAUUUGAUUUAAAGCCUUGCUGAAGUUGACAUUCUGAUAUAUCGUGACUCUGGUAAAAAAUAUUUUCAAGUUCGGAAAGUAGGAUACUUCAUUUAAUAUGUCUAUCACACAUGUUCACGGAGAUAAUUCUACACAUGGUUUUUAUACCUCUUUUUGACCCUGCUUGGAGAUGGAAGCGAGAUUUUGAAGUUUUAAGGCCUGCAGUGCCGUGGUCUUGCGUUGAUAUCUGUAGUUGUACAUAGAAAUUUUCUCAUUUGGUGUAUGUCUUUGCUACUUUUUCCUUAAACAUAAAUUAUAUUUUUAUAACUAUCUGGCAGUUAUUGAUCUAUCACUGCCUUACUACAUGUUACCUAUCUGGCAAUUAUGAGAUGCCUAUUCUUUUCAUAUGUAAAUCCUAAAAUAUUCGAAUCCAUUUUAUAUGUAAAUCCUAAAAUUUUCGAAUCCAAAGCCACCCAUUACAAUAUUAUGUACUGAAAUUAUAUCUUUUACUUAUGUGUCACUCUGCAUUUUUUUAAGAUUAAAAAAAAAUUCUUCCUUAUUUUAUACAUGGUUAAACACCAACCUUCAUGAUUCACUGGAUAUUCUUAGUAUUAUCUCUAACAAAAGAAUUUAUAAAGUUCUUUCCCCACAAAUGCAAAUAUAGGUAUUAGCUUAUUGAUUUUAAAUUGGUUAUUAAAUGUCUGGCAUGGAUCUCCUCCCUGC